rnacentral:rRNA from 1 species
ACGCUCGACACCUACGGGAGGCAGCAGUGGGGGAUAUUGCACAAUGGGGGAAACCCUGAUGCAGCGACGCCGCGUGAGGGAAGACGGUUUUCGGAUUGUAAACCUCUGUCUUCAGGGACGAUAGUGACGGUACCUGAAGAGGAAGCCACGGCUAACUACGUACCAGCAGCCGCGGUAAUCUGAGCGGGCUGGACAAGGC